GAUGAACGCUGGCGGCGUGCCUAAUACAUGCAAGUCGAGCGAAGCGGGGACGGGUGAGUAACACGUGGAUAACCUCCUAUACGACUGGGAUAACUUCGGGAAACCGGCGCUAAACCGGAUACUUAUCGAUGGAUCAGCGCUGCAUUAGCUAGUUGGUAAGGUAACGGCUUACCCAGGCAACGAUGCAUAGCCGACCUGAAAGGUUGAUCGGCCACACUGGAACUGUGAAACGGUCCAGAGUCCUACGGGAGGCAGCAGUAGGGAAUCUGCCGCAAUGGGCGAAAGCCUGACGUAGCAACGCCGCGUGAGUGAUGAAGGUCUGCGGAUCGUAAAACUCUGUUAUUAGGGAAGCGGUACCUAAUCAGAAAGCCACGGCUAACUACGUGCCAGCAGCCGCGGUAAUUC
rnacentral:rRNA from 1 species